rnacentral:rRNA from 1 species
AGAGUUUGAUCCUGGCUCAGGAUGAACGCUGGCGGCGUGCNUAAUACAUGCAAGUCGAGCGAAUGGAUUAAGAGCUUGCUCUUAUGAAGUUAGCGGCGGACGGUGUGAGUAACACGUGGGUAACCUGCCCAUAAGACUGGGAUAACUCCGGGAAACCGGGGCUAAUACCGGAUAAUAUUUUGAACUGCAUGGUUCGAAAUUGAAAGGCGGCUUCGGCUGUCACUUAUGGAUGGACCCGCGUCGCAUUAGCUAGUUGGUGAGGUAACGGCUCACCAAGGCAACGAUGCGUAGCCGACCUGAGAGGGUGAUCGGCCACACUGGGACUGAGACACGGCCCAGACUCCUACGGGAGGCAGCAGUAGGGAAUCUUCCGCAAUGGACGAAAGUCUGACGGAGCAACGCCGCGUGAGUGAUGAAGGCUUUCGGGUCGUAAAACUCUGUUGUUAGGGAAGAACAAGUGCUAGUUGAAUAAGCUGGCACCUUGACGGUACCUAACCAGAAAGCCACGGCUAACUACGUGCCAGCAGCCGCGGUAAUACGUAGGUGGCAAGCGUUAUCCGGAAUUAUUGGGCGUAAAGCGCGCGCAGGUGGUUUCUUAAGUCUGAUGUGAAAGCCCACGGCUCAACCGUGGAGGGUCAUUGGAAACUGGGAGACUUGAGUGCAGAAGAGGAAAGUGGAAUUCCAUGUGUAGCGGUGAAAUGCGUAGAGAUAUGGAGGAACCACCCCAGUGGCGAAGGCGACCUUUCUGGUCUGUAACUGACACUGAGGCGCGAAAGCNGUGGGGAGCAAACAGGAUUAGAUACCCUGGUAGUCCACGCCGUAAACGAUGAGUGCUAAGUGUUAGAGGGUUUCCGCCCUUUAGUGCUGAAGUUAACGCAUUAAGCACUCCGCCUGGGGAGUACNGCCGCAAGGCUGAAACUCAAANGAAUUGACGGGGGNCC